rnacentral:tRNA from 1 species
CAGUCAAUUAGCCUAUACUUAUCGCCCUCUCAAGGCGGCAACACGGGUUCGAAUCCCGUACGGGACACCA